AUGCAGAUGGUUUCCUGUGGUCGCACUGCCGUGAACAUCAAUGGGGAGAUUGGCCCCUACUUCCCCACUCUUUGUGGGGUGAGGCAAGGUGACCCUUUCUCCCCGUUCCUGUUCAAUAUGGUGGUGGACGCACUGGCUGCCAUCCUGGACAAGGCUAAGGCCGCAUGCCAUAUUCGUGGGCUCGCACCCCACUUGGCCGGUGGCACCGGCAUCUCCCUGCUCCAGUACGCUGACGACACCAUCAUCAUGGUC
rnacentral:rRNA from 1 species